AUGAGAUGGUAUAUUUGGCAAUUGCAAUGAAAAAUUAGGUUUAGUUGAUCAACAUUAUUUGGCACUUGGCUUAGUUGAUAAGCAUUGUUUAAUGCUUUGCUUCACGUUUAAAAGAAAACCAUUCAGAAAGGGAAAAAAGUAAAUGUUUCAUGCUUUACACUGCACAUCCAAAUCUAACUUUGCUAUGAUAUCUACAAUUAUACAAUUUAGCAACACACCGCUGCCCCACCAUCACAUAAUUCUGGCAAUAAGGUAAAGGAUUUAUUAUCUUAAUCAAAUGACUAUUUUCUCUUAUAACCAUAUUUUUUAAUGAGCACCAAGAUAAAAGACUUGGACUUGGUAAUUUUAAUUUAAAACUGAAAAUCUCUAAUAUCUUUAGAGAUUCUAAAAUCUCUACAUGAACAUAUUAGUGGCAUUUUAAAACUAUCAACUAUCUAUUCAUCCAUCCAUUCAUCCAUCCAUCAUCCAUCCAUCCAUCCAUCCUAUGUAUCUAUUUAUACAUUGUAAUCCACUGAUGGACACAGAAGCCAGGGGAAGAAAUUGAGUAUACUCUAGGGCAUUUCACUAAUAUGGAGGGCUGUGUUUUGACUGGGCCUGCUUAUUGGUCUUGGAGGAGAUAAGACUAUGUUUCUGUACUACUAAGGUUCUCUGAACUCCAUUGAGUUGAUCAAUACAUACAUUUUGCUACAAUGUUCAUCAUGAAUAAAGGGUAUAGGUAAACAUAUAUAAGGAAUGUUUAAAUGAUAUCCCUAAAAAUCUUCAUGUAAAUAUAUAAAAUCAAAUUUUAAAAAAGAUAUAAUACUAAAUCAUAUUUCUUAGCACUCAAAUUAUUUAAUAAACUUAGUUCCCUUCCUAACCUAAAAAUUGCUACAGCCUUUGUCUUAGACCAUUUUAAGUUUACAUUAGACUGAGUAACUUAUAAAGAACAGAGAUUUAUUUCUCAAAGUUCUGGAGGCUGGUAAGCCCAAAAGUAUGGAGAUGGUACGUGGUGAGGCCCCAGCUGCAUAAUGUGGUAGAAAUAAACAUUACAAAAGCAUCACUGUGAGAGAGCAGGAGGAUGGGAGAGAGCAAGGGAGUGCAGGAAGCUGAGCUCACUCCCUGGAGAGCUAACACACCCCCUUGACAAUGUCCUAAUCACCUCUUAAAGAACACCUCCCCCCCACAUAUGACCAGUGACAAAUAAAUUUCAACAUGAAUUUUGGAAGAGACAUUCAAACUAUAACAAUGCUCAACAAGUAAAAGUAAUACUUCAUAAUUAAAAAGAAAGAGUCUAGUGGAAUUAAUGACGCAAAGAGGACUGCUAUGUUCAGAAGUAUGUUUGGAAGAAGUCACUGACCAUUUGUCCUGAGAGAUUCCCACAUAACCUCUGUGAUAUCUGCCCUAGCUAAAGUGUUGCUUUAAAGCUAACAUUUUAGUGACUGUUCAUUGAUUCCCAUGUGUCUUUACUGCAAUAUAAAAAAAAAUAAUGUCUUCAUUUAUGGCAUGCAGUAAAAAACUCUCAAAAGGAAUACUCAGUAGUACUUAACCAUAUUUGUUUAAAAUAAAAAUACAAGGACAAAAAAUAAUUAUAUUUAAAUGAAUGAGAGCAAUACUUAAAGAAAUGUGAUGAUAUAGACAUAAUUAUGUACAGCUUUCAAUAAUUUAACAGUUCUCAAUCACUGCUUUAUUUCAUCCUGAUCUGAUUCUUGAUUCUCAUGCCUUAAUUAAGCUAAUAUCUUACUUUUAACAUAAUCUUGGAAGUAUCUCCUCCUUCAGAUUUAUGAUAUUACCAAGUGUUAUGGUCUAGAUAUAAGGUGUUCCCCCAAAUGUUCUGUGUCAGUGCAGGAAUGUUUGGAGAAAAAAUUACCAGAUUAUGAGAGUGGUAACCUCUGAAUCAAUCCUAGUUCGAAUGGAUUGACUGGGUGGGAGCUAUAGGCAUGUGAGGUGUCGCUGGAGGAGGUGGGUCUCUGAUGAUGUGCCCUGGAAGGGUUCAUCUUCUCUGUGUCCCCUUCCUACCACCUUCUCUCUCUCUGCUUCCUGGCUGCCAUAAAUAGAGGAGCUUCCCUCCUCCACACUCUUCCCCCAUGAUGUUCUGCCUCCCCUUGGGUCCAGAACAAUGGACUCUGUUGACUGUGGAACCAUGAACCAAAAUAAACUUUUCCUCCUCUAAGUUGUUCUUGUCAGGUGUUUUGGUCACAGCAACAAAAAGCAGACUAACACACCAAGGAUAAAAUUUCAUGUGUGCUUCCCUCAAAUAAUAUAUUUUAAUUGUUGGAUUCUAUAUGGUCAGCAAUAGUCCAGAAUUUGAUGUCUAAACUCAAGUUCUUUUCCUGUCCCAGACUUUAAAGAAAAAACAAAUAAAAA
rnacentral:lncRNA from 1 species